rnacentral:rRNA from 1 species
GACGAACGCUGGCGGCGUGCUUAACACAUGCAAGUCGAACGGAAAGGCCCUGCUUGCCGGGUACUCGAGUGGCGAACGGGUGAGUAACACGUGGGUGAUCUGCCCUGCACUUCGGGAUAAGCCUGGGAAACUGGGUCUAAUACCGGAUAGGAGCCAUUUUUAGUGUGAUGGUUGGAAAGUUUUUUCGGUGUAGGAUGAGCUCGCGGCCCAUCAGCUUGUUGGUGGGGUAAUGGCCUACCAAGGCGGCGACGGGUAGCCGGCCUGAGAGGGUGGACGGCCACAUUGGGACUGAGAUACGGCCCAGACUCCUACGGGAGGCAGCAGUGGGGAAUAUUGCACAAUGGGCGCAAGCCUGAUGCAGCGACGCCGCGUGGGGGAUGACGGCCUUCGGGUUGUAAACUCCUUUCGCUAGGGACGAAGCUUUUUGUGACGGUACCUAGAUAAGAAGCACCGGCUAACUACGUG